rnacentral:rRNA from 1 species
UACGGGGGGGGCAAGCGUUGUUCGGAAUUACUGGGCGUAAAGGGCUCGUAGGUGGCCAACUAAGUCAGACGUGAAAUCCCCAGGCUUAACCUGGGAACUGCGUCUGAUACUGGAUGGCUUGAAUUCGGGAGAGGGAUGCAGAAUUCCAGGUGUAGCGGUGAAAUGCGUAGAUAUCUGGAGGAAUACCGGUGGCGAAGGCGGCAUCCUGGACCGAGAUUGACACUGAGGAGCGAAAGCCAGGGGAGCAAACGGG